rnacentral:rRNA from 1 species
AGUAACGCGUGGGAACGUACCUUUUGGUUCGGAACAACACAGGGAAACUUGUGCUAAUACCGGAUAAGCCCUUACGGGGAAAGAUUUAUCGCCGAAAGAUCGGCCCGCGUCUGAUUAGCUAGUUGGUGAGGUAACGGCUCACCAAGGCGACGAUCAGUAGCUGGUCUGAGAGGAUGAUCAGCCACAUUGGGACUGAGACACGGCCCAAACUCAUACGGGAGGCAGCAGUGGGGAAUAUUGGACAAUGGGCGCAAGCCUGAUCCAGCCAUGCCGCGUGAGUGAUGAAGGCCCUAGGGUUGUAAAGCUCUUUUGUGCGGGAAGAUAAUGACGGUACCGCAAGAAUAAGCCCCGGCUAACUUCGUGCCAGCAGCCGCGGUAAUACGAAGGGGGCUAGCGUUACUCGGAAUCACUGGGCGUAAAGGGUGCGUAGGCGGGUCUUUAAGUCAGGGGUGAAAUCCUGGAGCUCAACUCCAGAACUGCCCUUGAUACUGAGGAUCUUGAGUUCGGGAGAGGUGAGUGGAACUGCGAGUGUAGAGGUGAAAUUCGUAGAUAUUCGCAAGAACACCAGUGGCGAAGGCGGCUCACUGGCCCGAUACUGACGCUGAGGCACGAAAGCGUGGGGAGCAAACAGGAUUAGAUACCCUGGUAGU